rnacentral:rRNA from 1 species
UACGGAGGGUGCAAGCGUUAUCCGGAUUCACUGGGCUUAAAGGGUGCGUAGGUGGGUCUGUAAGUCAGUGGUGAAAUCUCCGAGCUUAACUCGGAAACUGCCAUUGAUACUAUAGGUCUUGAAUUAUCUGGAGGUAAGCGGAAUAUGUCAUGUAGCGGUGAAAUGCUUAGAUAUGACAUAGAACACCAAUUGCGAAGGCAGCUUACUGCGGAUAUAUUGACACUGAGGCACGAAAGCGUGGGGAUCAAACAGG